rnacentral:rRNA from 1 species
UACGAAGGGAGCUAGCGUUGUUCGGAAUCACUGGGCGUAAAGCGCACGUAGGCGGACGUGUCAGUCAGGGGUGAAAUCCCGGGGCUCAACCUCGGAACUGCCUUUGAUACAGCACGUCUUGAGUCCGGAAGAGGUGGGUGGAAUUCCUAGUGUAGAGGUGAAAUUCGUAGAUAUUAGGAAGAACACCGGUGGCGAAGGCGGCCCACUGGUCCGGUAGUGACGCUGAGGUGCGAAAGCGUGGGGAGCAAACAGG